UCGUUGCCGCGCCCCGGCGGCGGCGGGGUGCCGCCCUCGCGCGGUGGCAGCGGGGUGGCCCGCGGCGGUCGCGACGACGGGCGGCGGGC
rnacentral:tRNA from 1 species